rnacentral:rRNA from 1 species
AUUGAACGCUGGCGGCAUGCCUUACACAUGCAAGUCGAACGGUAACAGGUCUUCGGAUGCUGACGAGUGGCGAACGGGUGAGUAAUACAUCGGAACGUGCCUAGUAGUGGGGGAUAACUACUCGAAAGAGUGGCUAAUACCGCAUGAGAUCUACGGAUGAAAGCAGGGGAUCGCAAGACCUUGCGCUACUAGAGCGGCCGAUGGCAGAUGAGGUAGUUGGUGGGAUAAAAGCUUACCAAGCCGACGAACUGUAGCUGGUCUGAGAGGACGAUCAGCCACACUGGGACUGAGACACGGCCCAGACUCCUACGGGAGGCAGCAGUGGGGAAUUUUGGACAAUGGGCGAAAGCCUGAUCCAGCAAUGCCGCGUGCAGGAUGAAGGCCUUCGGGUUGUAAACUGCUUUUGUACGGAACGAAAAGCCCUGGGUUAAUACCCUGGGGUCAUGACGGUACCGUAAGAAUAAGCACCGGCUAACUACGUGCCAGCAGCCGCGGUAA